rnacentral:rRNA from 1 species
UGGGGAAUAUUGGACAAUGGGGGCAACCCUGAUCCAGCCAUGCCGCGUGUGUGAAGAAGGCCUUUUGGUUGUAAAGCACUUUAAGCAGUGAAGAAGACUCCAUGGUUAAUACCCAUGGACGAUGACAUUAGCUGCAGAAUAAGCACCGGCUAACUCUGUGCCAGCAGCCGCGGUAAUACAGAGGGUGCAAGCGUUAAUCGGAAUUACUGGGCGUAAAGCGAGCGUAGGUGGCUUGAUAAGUCAGAUGUGAAAGCCCCGGGCUUUACCUGGGAACGGCAUCUGAUACUGUUAGGCUAGAGUAGGUGAGAGGAAGGUAGAAUUCCAGGUGUAGCGGUGAAAUGCGUAGAGAUCUGGAGGAAUACCGAUGGCGAAGGCAGCCUUCUGGCAUCAUACUGACACUGAGGUUCGAAAGCGUGGGUAGCAAACA